AAGCACACUCCCAGUGUCAGAGCGGAAAAUAGCAUGAAUAUCCAGGCCUUGAGCGUACACAGGAGCAGCAAAACGGCCGGAUUCAUGAUUAGAGACAUGAGCAAAGAUAUGCUCAUCUCCCACCAUGAACCUAACACUCUAAUAUCUUCAGAGUAGGAUUCUUCCGUCCACUCGCAAGGCCCCGAGAAUAGUCUCCCAGCAUGAAGCUAACACUCUAAUAUCUUCGGAGUAUGAUUCUUCCGUCCACUCGCAAGGCCCCGAGAAUAUUGAAUAGAAGCCUAUGAGGGGGAUUGCAAAUACCAUGCCAACAUAU
rnacentral:lncRNA from 1 species